AAGACCGACACUACGUAGACGAAGGAAGGGGUCUCAUCCUGCUGGAAUUGCCGACGCGCAGCCCGCUCCAGAUCCCCGCUGCUGCCCAGGUGCAUAUGCAUUCUUCCUGACCUUGUAGCCUUCUCAUUCUGGAAGAGCACUAAUCCCCUAAAAACUCCUUUUUCUGAAUGGAGCAAUGUGUGACUGUGAGAAUUGAACUACAAUUCAAAUUAUGGUACUGGAGAAGGAAGGAAUUCAAAUCAGUUAAUACUUAAGGAAAUUAAUUUAUGCUAUUCACUGGAAGAUCAAAAAUUGAAACUUAAGCUUAAAUAUUUUGGCCACGUAAUGAGAUUAGACUCACUAGAAAAGAUUCUGAUGUUGAAAGAGAUUGAUGGCAAAAAGAAAAAGGAAUGGCAGAGGAUGAGAUGGCUAGAUAGUAUCAUGGAAACAAUGAACAUGAACUUGGACUGACUUCAAGAGACAGUGAAGGACAGAAGGGCCUGAAAUGCUAUGAUCUAUGAGGUAACGAAGAAGCUGAUAUGAUUGGAUAACAACAACAACAAUAACAACCUCUGAUUUGAAAUCAUGGUAAUAAAGUAUCCUAAUUUAUUUCUACUGUAUUAAAACAUCUGCUAAUAGAUGCAGAUCUUUGUUAGAAGGGAGAUGAAGUACAAGUUUUUAUUAUCUAACACAGGCUUUUAUAAUUCAAAAUUUUAAAAGAUCAUAAAAAAU